rnacentral:rRNA from 1 species
AACGAACGCUGGCGGCAUGCCUAACACAUGCAAGUCGAACGACACCUUCGGGUCUAGUGGCGCACGGGUGCGUAACACGUGGGAAUCUGCCCUUUGCUUCGGAAUAACAGUUAGAAAUGACUGCUAAUACCGGAUGAUGUCGAAAGACCAAAGAUUUAUCGGCAAAGGAUGAGCCCGCGUAGGAUUAGGUAGUUGGUGGGGUAAAGGCCUACCAAGCCGACGAUCCUUAGCUGGUCUGAGAGGAUGAUCAGCCACACUGGGACUGAGACACGGCCCAGACUCCUACGGGAGGCAGCAGUGGGGAAUAUUGGACAAUGGGCGAAAGCCUGAUCCAGCAAUGCCGCGUGAGUGAUGAAGGCCUUAGGGUUGUAAAGCUCUUUUACCAGGGAUGAUAAUGACAGUACCUGGAGAAUAAGCUCCGGCUAACUCCGUGCCAGCCGCCGCGGUAAAAC